AUUGAACGCUGGCGGCAUGCCUAACACAUGCAAGUCGAACGGUAACAGGUCUUCGGGCGCUGACGAGUGGCGGACGGGUGCGUAACGCGUGGGAAUCUGCCCAGUAGUGGGGGAUAACCCGGGGAAACUCGGGCUAAUACCGCAUACUCCCCAAGGGGGAAAGCGGGGGACCGUAAGGCCUCGCGCUAUUGGAUGAGCCCGCGUGCCGAUUAGCUAGUUGGUGGGGUAAAGGCCUACCAAGGCGACGAUCGGUAGCUGGGCUGAGAGGACGACCAGCCACACUGGGACUGAGACACGGCCCAGACUCCUACGGGAGGCAGCAGUGGGGAAUAUUGGACAAUGGGGGAAACCCUGAUCCAGCAAUGCCGCGUGUGUGAAGAAGGCCUGCGGGUUGUAAAGCACUUUCGGCGGGAAAGAAAAGUUGUGCGUUAAUACCGCGCGACCUUGACGUUACCCGCAGAAGAAGCACCGGCUAACUCCGUGCCAGCAGCCGCCGUAACAC
rnacentral:rRNA from 1 species